UGUAGUUGUUACUCAUUGUGCCUAAACAUCGUCCGCGCAAGCUGCAGCAAAAACAAAAAUGCCGAUAGGGCACACGGCGAUGACACUUGAAAGCGCUUCAGCUGCGAGAAUUUUCUUGCGCUGUCAAACGAUCGCAGCGUGAGAGCGAAAAGGAGAGGAACAUCUACUUCCGCUGUGGCUCGUCGUGCAAAUCGUCCUCUGCAGCGGCGAGGCGUCAUUGCAAAACGAGUGGUCGACGGUGAAAGGUGCGUGCGUGCCGUCGCGAGCGAGACACGCGGAAAAGUGGUGCCGGUCCGUCGAAAAGCAGAACAACUAAAGUGGGCUCGAAGCCAAACCCGGAAGAUCAAACGCGGCAAGGCGGAGCCCGGCGCAAAAUUCCGCGACAAGAAACGUCUCCAUCGCUCGAAGGCACGCCACGCAAUCUCAAGAUCUGUCCCACACUCGUCAUUCAGCGCUUGGUCGGUCGCUGCUGAACGAAUAAAAGGUGCCAGUCUCGCCCGGAAUCUGGCCAACACCGAACACCCCCCGUCGAGUUCAAGCACGUCAAGAAGACCCAUCCGGAAGAGGAGCAAAGCGAAAAGACCCUCGCAGGAGGGUCUUUUUUCGCACACGCUCAGCGCGCACAGGGCUCGACGGGCGUAACGAGGCGGUCCAGGAUCAACUACGCCACACGCCUGGAGCUGCGCCGAGGAUCAGCAACCGUGCGGACGGAUCGCGGACAGCCGAUCGCCUUUGAGAACCCACGCGCUGGAGAAGUCCACGCGUACGCACGCACGGGGACCAGCACGACACGCACAAGAUUUGGGGAGAUUUGGCAUCGGGUUCGUGCAUGAACGCGGCCACGCCGCGCGACUCAAGCACACAAAAGAAAUAUCAACACGCCAGCCAGGGAGAGACCACACACGCACCAGCGCGCUCGUGAUUCGUCCACGCAUCAGGCAGCACAGUCGCCGCGGCCGAUUCGCCACAGCUGCGCGCCAACAAGAAUCAGCGCGUGAAGCAACACGUCUACGUUCGCGCGUCGGCAUCCGGCGGCCAGUUGCUGCUCGCCGAUACGCCUGGGACUGCAGAGAGUGAACAAUUCGUGAGUGCUAGUUGUAAGUUUGGGGGUGCACCUACCAAGGACGCGAAGCGUCGAAGAACCCACGCGAAGCACAGGCAGGUUGAAAAUUGUGAGGCGCAAAGCGCAUGAGUCUGCUCACGCGCGCAUGAGGGAACCGUGAGCGCACGAAGGGGCGCACGAGCGCAUGUUAGGCACCGCGAGCGUAUCGCAAUUUUAGAAUAAGCAAAUUUCACACGCUGAUGUAAUGUUGGGAAGAAUAGAGUUGGGUUUUUGGAUGUAAUUUAGCUUUUGUUUCGCCUUUAUUUGGUACCGCAUUUGUUUUGAGCUUACGGAGUGUCGCC